UAGCUGCGUUACUUGGUGUGAAUUGCAGGACACGCCGAACACUGAAUCUUCGAACGCACAUUGCGGCUUCGAAUAACUAUUCGGAGCCACGUCUGUCUGAGGGUUGGAUAAGAACCUAAUUCUGUUAAUGGUCUCGGGUGGUAGGCCCCUAAGCGGUAACUUCGCGAGACUUAUGAUUCACAAGUGCAUGCGGUCGCCGAUGGCGAUUGAUUACGCACGGCCAGUCUAUGGCCUAUCGGCGUUUUCUUUCAUUCGUCGGCGGUUCGCGAGCGCUUCGUGACCAACAAUAAAAGUCGGCAGGCCUUAACUGGCCCGCCGCACCCCCAUCAUUGUCAACCUCAGAUCAGGCGAGACUACCCGCUGAAUUUAA
rnacentral:misc_RNA from 1 species